rnacentral:rRNA from 1 species
AGAGUUUGAUCAUGGCUCAGAGUGAACGCUGGCGGCAUGCCUAACACAUGCAAGUCGAACGGUAACAGGCCCGCAAGGGUGCUGACGAGUGGCGGACGGGUGAGGAAUACAUCGGAAUUUGCCCAGUCGUGGGGGGAUAACGUAGGGAAACUUACGCUAAUACCGCAUACGACCUAACGGUGAAAGCGGGGGAUCGCAAGACCUCGCGCGGAUGGAUAAGCCGAUGUCGGAUUAGCUAGUUGGCGGGGUAAAGGCCCACCAAGGCGACGAUCCGUAGCUGGUCUGAGAGGAUGAUCAGCCACACUGGGACUGAGACACGGCCCAGACUCCUACGGGAGGCAGCAGUGGGGAAUAUUGGACAAUGGGGGCAACCCUGAUCCAGCAAUGCCGCGUGUGUGAAGAAGGCCUUCGGGUUGUAAAGCACUUUUAUCAGGAACGAAAUCUGCAGGGUUAAUACCCAUGCAGUCUGACGGUACCUGAGGAAUAAGCACCGGCUAACUUCGUGCCAGCAGCCGCGGUAAUACGAAGGGUGCAAGCGUUACUCGGAAUUACUGGGCGUAAAGGGUGCGUAGGUGGUCGUUUAAGUCCGUUGUGAAAUCCCUGGGCUCAACCUGGGAAUGGCAGUGGAUACUGGACGGCUAGAAUGCGGUAGAGGGUAGUGGAAUUCCCGGUGUAGCAGUGAAAUGCGUAGAGAUCGGGAGGAACACCAGUGGCGAAGGCGGCUACCUGGACCAGCAUUGACACUCAAGCACGAAAGCGUGGGGAGCAAACAGGAUUAGAUACCCUAGUAGUCC